AUCAUAUUAAUUGAUAAUUUAUUGUUAAAGAGUAAAAAUGGUUAAAGUAAAAAAAAUCGACGAAAGUAAAAAAAAUAAAGUUAAACGACAAUUAUUUGUCAAACCUGUAGCUAUUGUUAAACCAUAUGUACCUGAGAAUAUAUAUAAAGCUUCUCAAAUCUAUGUUCCUCAAGUGGUUGAAACAAGAACAAUUGAGGAAACAGAUGAACAAAUGUACGAAGACUAGCUGGAAAUAUUUGAUGAUAUUCCAGAAAUAAACGAUGAACAAGUGCGUAUACUUGAUAGAAUAAUGAUGCGAAUAGACCGUCAUUUGGAUGAUAACAGAAUGAACAGAAACGAUCGCUAUUUUGCAACACCAAGACGUGUGUUAUGUUUAGGAUGUUGCCUGUGCAAUGAAGAGAGCGAGCACAAUCAUUGUUGUGCCCGUCCAAUGGUGCUGUUUCAGGAGGAAUAUCUUAUCGGAUCAAUCAAGCUGGAAAAUAAAAAAAAAACAUUUCUUUGUAUCAUUUUAAUUUAUUAAAUAUUGUAUUACAACCGUAUA